rnacentral:lncRNA from 1 species
AGAAUAGUUAACAGUGAUUCUGUGCUCUGGGAAGGAACUUGCUGCUGAGAGUGCCAGUCUGCGAGGUUUUUGCUUUAAUGUCUGGAUGGAGGAGAAGUGUAGAAUAGCUGAUGUGUAUUCAAGGUCAGCAUAGUGUAUGGAAGAGCAUCAGGAUGACUGACCAUCACUAGAGUUAACUGGCAUAAUCAGUGCUUGAAGAUUUAAGUGGAACUAGAUGGUACCAUGUACCAGGAUGUACAGGCUCCCUAGGGAGGACUC